rnacentral:rRNA from 1 species
UACGGAGGGUGCAAGCGUUGUCCGGAUUUAUUGGGUUUAAAGGGUGCGUAGGCGGCGUAGUAAGUCCGUGGUGAAAGCCAACAGCUCAACUGUUGAACUGCCAUGGAUACUGCUAGGCUUGAGUACAGACGAGGUAGGCGGAAUGGAUAGUGUAGCGGUGAAAUGCAUAGAUACUAUCCAGAACACCGAUUGCGAAGGCGGCUUACUAGACUGUAACUGACGCUGAGGCACGAAAGCGUGGGGAGCGAACAGG